rnacentral:rRNA from 1 species
CCUACGGGAGGCAGCAGUGGGGAAUAUUGCACAAUGGGGGAAACUCUGAUGCAGUGACGCCGCGUGCAGGAAGAAGUAUUUCGGUAUGGAAACUUCUAUCAGCAGGGAAGUAAAUGACGGUACCUGACUAAGAUGCCCCGGCUAACUACGUGCCAGCAGCCGCGGUAAUACGUAGGGGGCAAGCGUUAUCCGGAUUUACUGGGUGUAAAGGGAGCGUAGGCGGUGCAGCAAGCCAGAAGUGAAAGCCCGGGGCUCAACUCCGGGACUGCUUUUGAAACUGUUGAACUAGAUUGCAGGAGAGGUAAGUGGAAUUCCUGGUGUAGCGGUGAAAUGCGUAGAUAUUAGGAGGAACACCAGUGGCGAAGGCGGCUUACUGGACUGUAAAUGACGCUGAGGCUCGAAAGCGUGGGGAGCAGACAGGAUUAGAUACCCGAGUAGUC